rnacentral:rRNA from 1 species
GACGAACGCUGGCGGCGUGCUUAACACAUGCAAGUCGAACGCUGAAGCUCAGCUUGCUGGGUGGAUGAGUGGCGAACGGGUGAGUAACACGUGAGUAACCUGCCCUCUUCUUUGGGAUAACGCCCGGAAACGGGUGCUAAUACUGGAUAUUCACUGAUUCUCGCAUGGGGGUUGGUGGAAAGGUUUUUUCUGGUGGGGGAUGGGCUCGCGGCCUAUCAGCUUGUUGGUGGGGUGAUGGCCUACCAAGGCUUUGACGGGUAGCCGGCCUGAGAGGGUGACCGGUCACAUUGGGACUGAGAUACGGCCCAGACUCCUACGGGAGGCAGCAGUGGGGCAUAUUGCACAAUGGGCGAAAGCCUGAUGCAGCGACGCCGCGUGAGGGAUGGAGGCCUUCGGGUUGUAAACCUCUUUCGCUCAUGGUCAAGCCGCAGCUUUGGGUUGUGGUGAGGGUAGUGGGUAAAGAAGCGCCGGCUAACUACGUG